rnacentral:rRNA from 1 species
UGCAGCGAUGCCGCGUGAGGGAUGACGGCCUUCGGGUUGUAAACCUCUUUCAGCAGGGAAGAAGCGAAAGUGACGGUACCUGCAGAAGAAGCGCCGGCUAACUACGUGCCAGCAGCCGCGGUAAUACGUAGGGCGCAAGCGUUGUCCGGAAUUAUUGGGCGUAAAGAGCUCGUAGGCGGCUUGUCACGUCGGAUGUGAAAGCCCGAGGCUUAACCUCGGGUCUGCAUUCUAUACGGGCUAGCUAGAGUGUGGUAGGGGAGAUCGGAAUUCCUGGUGUAGCGGUGAAAUGCGCAGAUAUCAGGAGGAACACCGGUGGCGAAGGCGGAUCUCUGGUCCAUUACUGACGCUGAGGAGCGAAAGCGUGGGGAGCGAACAGGAUUAGAUACCCUGGUAGUCCACGCCGUAAACGUUGGGAACUAGGUGUUGGCGACAUUCCACGUCGUCGGUGCCGCAGCUAACGCAUUAAGUUCCCCGCCUGGGGAGUACGGCCGCAAGGCUAAAACUCAGAGGAAUUGACGGGGGCCCGCACAAGCAGCGGAGCAUGUGGCUUAAUUCGACGCAACGCGUAGAACCUUACCAAGGCUUGACAUAUACCGGAAAGCAUUAUAGAUAGUGCCCCCCUUGUGGU